AUUGAACGCUGGCGGCAUGCCUUAAACAUGCAAGUCGAACGGUAACAGGUCUUCGGAUGCUGACGAGUGGCGAACGGGUGAGUAAUACAUCGGAACGUGCCUGGUAGUGGGGGAUAACUACUCGAAAGAGUGGCUAAUACCGCAUGAGAUCUACGGAUGAAAGCAGGGGAUCGCAAGACCUUGUGCUACUAGAGCGGCCGAUGGCAGAUUCGGUAGUUGGUGGGAUAAAAGCUUACCAAGCCGACGAUCUGUAGCUGGUCUGAGAGGACGAUCAGCCACACUGGGACUGAGACACGGCCCAGACUCCUACGGGAGGCAGCAGUGGGGAAUUUUGGACAAUGGGCGCAAGCCUGAUCCAGCAAUGCCGCGUGCAGGAUGAAGGCCUUCGGGUUGUAAACUGCUUUUGUACGGAACGAAAAGCCCCGGGUUAAUACCCUGGGGUCAUGACGGUACCGUAAGAAUAAGCACCGGCUAACUACGUGCCAGCAGCCGCAGUAA
rnacentral:rRNA from 1 species